CAGCUCGUGCCGUGAGGUGUCGGGUUAAGUCCCAUAACGAGCGCAACCCCUACCUUUAGUUGCCAUCAGGUAAUGCUGGGGACUCUAAAGGAACUGCCUACGCAAGUAGUGAGGAAGGCCGGGGAUGACGUCAAAUCAGCACGGCCCUUACGUCCAGGGCUACACACGUGCUACAAAUGGCCGAUACAGAGGGCAGCUACCUGGUGACAGGAUGCAAAUCUCCAAAGUCGGUCUCAGUUCGGAUCGGAGUCUGCAACCCGACUCCGUGAAGUUGGAUUCGCUAGUAAUCGCGCACCAGCCAUGGCGCGGUGAAUACGGUUCCCGGGCCUC
rnacentral:rRNA from 1 species